rnacentral:lncRNA from 13 species
GGAGGAGGUGGUAAGGAUGCCCUCCAUGCAGGGCCCUAUGAUGACAAGUGAUAGCGCCAGCCCUUCCUCCCCGGGAGGUGCUGUGCCGGACAGCUCCACUGGCCCUCUGUGAGCAGCCUCUCUGCUGGUGUCCCCACGAGCCUGGCAGGGAGGCAGGGCUGCCUGGAUGGGCUCAGGCGGCUCUCUCUACUCCUGCACUUGCCACAAGUGAUCCCAUGGGCAAGCCCUGGGUCUGGUGGGCACACAGUGACCACACUGUGUCUCCUCUCUUGACAGGAAGUCUAAAGCCAAGCCCAAUGGCAAGAAGCCUGCUGCGGAAGAGAGGAAGGCCUACCUGGAACCCGAGCACACCAAGGCCAGGAUCACCGACUUCCAAUUCAAGGAGCUGGUGGUGCUGCCCCGCGAGAUUGACCUCAACGAGUGGCUGGCCAGCAACACCACAACAUUUUUCCACCACAUCAACCUGCAGUAUAGCACCAUCUCAGAGUUCUGCACAGGAGAGACGUGUCAGACAAUGGCCGUGUGCAACACGUGAGUGCGGCCUGGCUAUAGCCCAGCUCCUCUCGGGAGCCCCUGUCACCCCAAGCUCUUGUCCUCUCAGACUCCGUUCUCACCUAGAGAUCCUGAGAAGUGUUAGCACAGGCCUUCCACCACAGCGUCCACCUCCUGUCCCUCAGGGACCAAUGGCCCAGCCAGUUGGGUCCCCAGUGGAUCCUGGGAGGUGCAGGAGCUGGUGGGGAUUGAUGGGGUGUGUUUCUAGGAGCAGAGAUGUUUCCAAACGGAAAUGCCCUAAGAUUGCAGAGAGCCCCUCUCAGCCGGCUCCCGUGAGAGCUCUCUGAGACGGACAGUGGGGGCUGGGCUGGGCAGGCCACAGCUCUUUGCUCCGCCACUCAUUUCUCGGGGGCUCAGGUGCCAUCUCCACGACUGUGCAACAGGCCUGGUGCUGGGUAGCUCUCUCCUGGAAGCACUACGCCCUGAUUUCGUCAGUAAGUGAGUGUUGCUUAGUGGCCUUGGGCACCCCACUUGCGUAGCACAGGAAGGAGCGCCGCCAGGCCUGGGUUGCUGGAGGCUGCAGGCAGGAGGCAUCUGGGUCUGGUGGGCUCAGCCUGGGACGUGUGUAGCUGGGGAGGGCAGAAGCUUCCCUUGAUGUCCCGCUGUUGUCAGUGCACGCAGGUCAGGGACAGAAGGUGGGCUUGUGAGUGCAUCCUGAAAGUCAUCCUGCCCACAGACAUGGCUUUCCUUGCCCUGGCACCGGGAGACGUGUUCCCCAGACAAAGCUGAGUUCUGCCCUCAAUAAGCCACGGGGAGCUUCUGCACAGCCAGGUGGCAGGCAUCCCCUUGGCUUCAGUCCUACUGGCCCUGCCCUCAUGGCCCCGACAGGUCACACCUGGGUUUGGUUCUGGUUGACACAGGGGCACGUACAGACAACAACUGGCUUCACUCUUAAUUCCCCAGGAAGAUGAGGUGUCACGGCCAGGCCCAGCCCGGGAAGAUGAUGGGGACAAUGCUUAUCACCCUGAGGGGUGCAAGUUCAAUGUGAGAUGGAGGUGGCCUCUGUGGAUCAGGCUCAGAGGUGAUCCCGAGGUGACAGAGCAGUGCCCGAGAGCUGCACAAGAGCCUUGUGUCCACUGUGGCUCCGGAGCCACCUGUGGCAAAGCGCUGGCCGAGCUGCCCUGCUCCUGGGCAGGCAGGGCCUGGCACCCUUCCAGUGGCUCUGCUCCUGGUGCUCUGUGGCACUGGGUUUGUUUGGAAAAGGGGUUCCUUGGAGAAGCAAAGGAUGUGGAGUUGGGCAGACCUACGUCCCCUCGGAGGGCCUAGGCCACCCAGGGUCCUUUGCGUCUGGAACCAGCAUCAUGGUGGUAUAGAUGUCUGUGAAUUAGCUGCAUAUGAUGCCUUCCCAGGAACCCUGUCCAGCCAAGGGACAGAAAUCCACUCAAACUGAGAAACGGAAGCUUCCCAGAGGCCUCAGGGUCACUUGCCACUGGGGCCUGUAGGACAGUCCCAAAAAGGUUGAUGUCGGACUCAGAAGAAAGGGGGUGGGACCAGAAACACACUGCAGCAAUAAUGGCUGAGAGCUUCCCACAGACACAAACCUGCAGACUUAAGAAGCUGAGCAGACCCCAUGUAAGGCUGACAGCCGUGUGCAGACGUACACAAACCAAACGCUGAGAAGUGGGGGCAAAGAAAAAGCCCUUGGCAGCUGUUCAUCAGCAGCCAGAUGGUGUGGCGUGGUCCUGACAAGGGGUGCCACAGUGAAUGACUGUGGCGCUCGCUCGUCAGAAACCCAGGAGGCCAGAAAGAAGACAGAAGCCCCAUGCAUCUUACAGUGCUGGGAGGAAAGAACGGUCACCCCAGAAUUACACAUCGGGCCAGUGUCCAAAGUCACUCCAAACCAAGGCCCUCACAGCCAGCAGACCUGCUCUGGAGACGCAACUGAUGGUACAAGAGGACAAGGGCAGUGUCCGACAGUGCCCAUGCAGCACCGUUCCCAGGACAGCUAUGGCAGGGUGGGUCCUGUGGCGGUGGAGGGCCUGUGGCGGCGGUGGGGCUGUGGGUGGGAGAGCUGCCACGCUCCAGUGGAAGCGUGUGUGCAGGUGCCACAUCGAGCACACAGGGUUAAGGUGCCUGCAACCACCCUUUGAGCAGCCUUGUAGAGCUUGUGUGUAGAGACACGGGGCCAUCAUAGGUAUUUCAAAUGAAAUACAGAACAUUCAAGUGGCCCAAAAGAAAGCCCGAAAGAAGAAAUACCACAAGGAACGAGCAACAGAGGCAGCAAACAGCGGAAAACCUAAAUGCCGACUGAUCAGCAGACGGGACUGGUGUAAAUGCACCAGUCAGGACAGCGUAUGAGGAUAGAUUUUUAAACUAAGCCAGCUCUCUGGUGUCUGCCAGAAGCUCCUUUGUUCUAUUUCAUUUGGGAUGCCGUCACGAAACGUGAUAGACUUGGUGGCUUGUGAACAACAGAAUUUUACUCCUUGCAGUUCUGGAGGCUGAAAGUCCAAGGUCAAGAUCUGCUGUCUGUGGACCAGGAAGGGGGCACUGAUCACAUCACUGAGUCUGCUUAGCCCGAUUCAGUGUCUGGUGAGGACCCCCUCCUGGUCCACAGACAGCGCCCUCCUGCUGGAAGGUGGGUGAGGGAACUCUGGGGCCUUAGAAGGGCACUCACUCUGUUCAUGAGUGUUCUGCCUUGUGACCUCAUCACCUCCCACAGUCCCCAUCUCCAAACACCCUCACAUCUGGGGUUCAGCUUUCAACACAGCAAUUGGGUGCCAGUGUCCCAAUGUAGCAUCACUGUAGAUGCUGUGGUGUAGGCAGGUUAGAAGUAGGAGGACAGGAGAAGAGGGGCUGAGAAAACCCGCCUCAGAAGGGGGUGGGAGUGGCUGUUUCAGGCCGAGGGAGUCCUGGAGUGAAGAAAUGAGCAGGAGUGAAAAGGUUCCAGCUUUAGGAAAGGGGCAGCUCUUGAGGAAGAGAGAUCAUGCCAUGAACGUGUAUGCACAAACAGCAAGGCUUGGGACACACCGCACUGAAGGCGCUGCAGGACAAAUGGGCAGGAUCACGGCAGUGCUGCAGAUUCCAGCACUGGUGAAAGAGCCUCAGAGACAAGUCAGUGAGGGCAGGGAGGCUGUUGACACCAGCAGUCAGGAUGGACACUGCAGCCUCAGCAGCACAAAGACGAGCCACCACAAUGGGUCACACCUACCACAGAAGAGCCCUUAACACAUUUUUAAAACCAGGACCAUAUGAAGUAAGUUUUCUGACCAUGGUGGAGUUAAACUGGAAGUCAGCACAGAAAACGGAGUUUCCAAACACUUGCACAUCAGCACACUUCUAAGGAAUCCGUGGGCCAGAGAGGACGCCUCAGGAAAAAUGUAAGACUUUCAAAACCUACACACGUGAAAAUACAGCCUGUCAGAAUUUGUGAGACAUAAUGAAAGCAGUGCCUAGAGGGGAUUUACAGGAUUAAAUGCGGUUUUACAAAAAGAAGAUGACUUUCAAUCUAAGUUUCCAACUUUAAAAAGCUUGAGAAAAAGCAAAAUAAACCCGAAGCAGAAGAAAGUAAAUAAGGACA